GAACAGCAUGGCCACGCCUGCGUUCAAAAAGCUACGAGUCCCAACUUGCUAUACUUCCUAACUGCUAAGUUUCAAAGUAGCCAUCAUCUCAAAACACCUUAGCCUCAUUUUUUUUUUCAAUACAAACCAGCAUAACAAUUUAGCACUAGCAUUAUUUCAAUAGAAACCAACAUCAUCUCAAAAUAGAAGUAAACUCAUUCAAAGCUCAAUAAGUCCAAAGCAAGUAAACCUAUUUUAAAAUAAAAAAGAAACAAGUAUAGAAAAAAUAACAACAAGCAUGACAGGGAGACAUACCAAAAAGGAGAAGUGACGGCGACAGCGGCGGUGCACGGCUGAUAGCAGCAGUUACCGGUGGAAAUGACGUUAAAACAGGAACAGAUGUAUCAAUAAGCAUGGCUUGUGCAUCAAUGGCAGUCAGCAUCAACAUAGCAGGGUUU